GACGGAAGGUGCAAGCGUUGCUCGGAAUCACUGGGCGUAAAGGGUGCGUAGGCGGCUUGGUAAGUUGGGUGUGAAAGCCCCGGGCUCAGCCCGGGAAGGGCACUCGAAACUGCCGAGCUGGAGUGCCGGAGGGGAGAGUGGAAUUCCUGGUGUAGCGGUGAAAUGCGUAGAUAUCAGGAGGAAUACCGGUGGCGAAAGCGACUCUCUGGACGGUACUGACGCUGAGACGCGAAAGCGUGGGGAGCGAACAGG
rnacentral:rRNA from 1 species